rnacentral:rRNA from 1 species
UGCUGGUAUUUCAUCUAUGUGUGCCCCACCUCUUCCCAUUCCGAACAGAGAAGUGAAAGCGCAUAGACUCGAUGAUACUUGGACCUUCGGGACCUGGGAAAGUAGAGUAUGCCGGCAU